rnacentral:rRNA from 1 species
ACUCGAGUGGCGAACGGGUGAGUAACACGUGGGUGAUCUGCUCUGCACUUCGGGAUAAGCCUGGGAAACUGGGUCUAAUACCGGAUAGGAGCCAUUUUUAGUGUGAUGGUUGGAAAGUUUUUCGGUGUAGGAUGAGCUCGCGGCCUAUCAGCUUGUUGGUGGGGUAAUGGCCUACCAAGGCGGCGACGGGUAGCCGGCCUGAGAGGGUGGACGGCCACAUUGGGACUGAGAUACGGCCCAG